rnacentral:rRNA from 1 species
GACGAACGCUGGCGGCGUGCUUAACACAUGCAAGUCGAACGAGAAGGCGUAGCAAUACGCUUGUACAGUGGCGAACGGGUGAGUAAUACGUGGGCGACCUACCCUCGAGUGGGGAAUAACCCGCCGAAAGGCGGGCUAAAUGCCGCGUACGCUUCCAUCUUUAUGGAGGUGGAAGGAAAGCCGUGCCGUGGGCACGGCGCUCAAGGAUGGGCUCACGUCCUAUCAGCUUGUUGGUAGGGAACGGCCUACCAAGGCUCCGACGGGUAGCUGGUCUGAGAGGACGAUCAGCCACACUGGCACUGCGACACGGGCCAGACUCCUACGGGGAGGCAGCAGUGAGGANAUUGCGCAAUGGGCGAAAGCCUGACGCAGCGACGCCGCGUGGGGGAU